rnacentral:rRNA from 1 species
GGGCCCGCACAAGCGGUGGAGUAUGUGGUUUAAUUCGAUGCAACGCGAAGAACCUUACCAGGGUUUGACAUCCUGCGAAUCUCUUGGAAACAGGAGAGUGCCUUCGGGAACGCAGUGACAGGUGGUGCAUGGCUGUCGUCAGCUCGUGUCGUGAGAUGUUGGGUUAAGUCCCGCAACGAGCGCAACCCACGUCUUUAGUUGCCAGCGAGUAAUGUCGGGAACUCCAGGGAGACUGCCCGUGAUAAGCGGGAGGAAGGUGUGGAUGACGUCAAGUCCUCAUGGCCCUUACGGGUUGGGCUACACACGUGCCUACAAUGGUAGUGACAAUGGGUUAAUCCCCAAAAAGCUA